rnacentral:rRNA from 1 species
GUAGGUGGCAAGCGUUGUCCGGAAUUAUUGGGCGUAAAGCGCGCGCAGGCGGUUCUUUAAGUCUGAUGUGAAAGCCCACGGCUCAACCGUGGAGGGUCGUUGGAAACUGGGGAACUUGAGUACAGAAGAGGAAAGCGGAAUUCCACGUGUAGCGGUGAAAUGCGUAGAGAUGUGGAGGAACACCAGUGGCGAAGGCGGCUUUCUGGUCUGUAACUGACGCUGAGGCGCGAAAGCGUGGGGAGCAAACAGGAUUAGAUACCCUGGUAGUCCACGCCGUAAACGAUGAGUGCUAAGUGUUAGGGGGUUUCCCGCCCCCCUUAGUGCUGCAGCUAACGCAUUAAGCACUCCGCCUGGGGAGUACGGCCGCAAGGCUG